rnacentral:misc_RNA from 1 species
UUUCCGUAGGUGAACCUGCGGAAGGAUCAUUGCACACACGAUGCAGCAAACUAGCGAACUGUGUUUGUCCCCCACCUACCCCAAACACGAGGGGCCGCAUCUGGAGGUGCGGCUGUCGACGGCAAGGUCCCGACCUUCGGGUCCCCGCAGUGGUUCCCGCAAGCGGGCUGAUCAUGUCGCCGUCUGGGUGUCCCGCGCGGGCUCUCGCCUUGCUUUAGGGUUGGGCGACGCGGGCCUGCUCCUCCCUUCGAUGACGUCGUCCCCUCCUCCGGGGGAGCGACACGCGUCGAGGGCCGUUUCCAGCUUUGCACCAUGUACAACACCAGGGACUGGGUAUACCUUUGUCCCGGUUCCGCUGCUGCCCUCGGGUGGUGCGGAAUUGGUCCAUAGGAACAAGAGUAAAUAGAAACAACUCUCAGCAACGGAUAUCUUGGCUCUU